GAUGAACGCUAGCUACAGGCUUAACACAUGCAAGUCGAGGGGCAGCAUGGUCUUAGCUUGCUAAGGCCGAUGGCGACCGGCGCACGGGUGAGUAACACGUAUCCAACCUGCCGUCUACUCUUGGACAGCCUUCUGAAAGGAAGAUUAAUACAAGAUGGCAUCAUGAGUCCGCAUGUUCACAUGAUUAAAGGUAUUCCGGUAGACGAUGGGGAUGCGUUCCAUUAGAUAGUAGGCGGGGUAACGGCCCACCUAGUCUUCGAUGGAUAGGGGUUCUGAGAGGAAGGUCCCCCACACUGGAACUGAGACACGGUCCAAACUCCUACGGGAGGCAGCAGUGAGGAAUAUUGGUCAAUGGGCGAGAGCCUGAACCAGCCAAGUAGCGUGAAGGACGACUGCCCUAUGGGUUGUAAACUUCUUUUAUAAAGGAAUAAAGUCGGGUAUGGAUACCCGUUUGCAUGUACUUUAUGAAUAAGGAUCGGCUAACUCCGUG
rnacentral:rRNA from 1 species